GGACUACUGGGGUUUCUAAUCCUGUUUGCUCCCCACGCUUUCGUGCUUGAACGUCGGCGCUGGACCAGGAAGCCGCUUUCGCCACUGAUGUUCCUUCUGAUAUCUACGCAUUUCACCGCUACACCAGAAAUUCCGCUUCCCUCUUCCGCACCCUAGCUUUGCAGUCUCGAAUGCAAUUCCCAGGUUGAGCCCGGGGCUUUCACACCCGACUUACGAAACCGUCUACGCACGCUUUACGCCCAGUAAUUCCGAUUAACGCUUGCACCCUCUGUAUUACCGCGGCUGCUGGCAC
rnacentral:rRNA from 1 species